GCAAACUUGGUCAUUUAGAGGAAGUAAAAGUCGUAACAAGGUUUCCGUAGGUGAACCUGCGGAAGGAUCAUUAUGGUGUUUGGUGGCUGUUCUACGUGGAGCUGGGGGUAUGUGGUGGGUGUUGUGUGUUGUGUGCGAUGGUGUGUUGUGGUGCUCAGCAUCACAGUACCCAGUACCACAGCGCGCACCCCGCCACAUGACAACAUAACAACGCAAACACGAACACGAAAACACACGUUAAACAUUACAACUCCCAGCAGUGGAUCUCUUGGCUCCUGCAUCGAUGAAGAACGCAGC
rnacentral:misc_RNA from 1 species